rnacentral:rRNA from 1 species
AUUGAACGCUGGCGGCAUGCCUUACACAUGCAAGUCGAACGGUAACGGGCCUUCGGGUGCCGACGAGUGGCGCACGGGUGAGUAAUACAUCGGAACGUGCCCGAUCGUGGGGGAUAACGAGGCGAAAGCUUUGCUAAUACCGCAUACGAUCUACGGAUGAAAGCAGGGGACCGCAAGGCCUUGCGCGGACGGAGCGGCCGAUGGCAGAUUAGGUAGUUGGUGGGAUAAAAGCUUACCAAGCCGACGAUCUGUAGCUGGUCUGAGAGGAUGAUCAGCCACACUGGGACUGAGACACGGCCCAGACUCCUACGGGAGGCAGCAGUGGGGAAUUUUGGACAAUGGGCGCAAGCCUGAUCCAGCCAUGCCGCGUGCAGGAUGAAGGCCUUCGGGUUGUAAACUGCUUUUGUACGGAACGAAAAGCCUUCUUUUAAUACAGGAGGGUCAUGACGGUACCGUAGGAAUAAGCACCGGCUAACUACGUG